CACGUAGGGCGCAAGCGUUGUCCGGAAUUAUUGGGCGUAAAGAGCUCGUAGGCGGUCUGUUGCGUCUGCUGUGAAAACUCGGGGCUUAACCCCGAGCCUGCAGUGGAUACGGGCAGACUAGAGGUAGGUAGGGGAGAAUGGAAUUCCCGGUGUAGCGGUGAAAUGCGCAGAUAUCGGGAGGAACACCGGUGGCGAAGGCGGUUCUCUGGGCCUUACCUGACGCUGAGGCACGAAAGCGUGGGGAGCGAACAGG
rnacentral:rRNA from 1 species